AUUGAACGCUGGCGGCAGGCCUAACACAUGCCAGUCGAGCGGAUGAAGGGAGCUUGCUCCUGGAUUCAGCGGCGGACGGGUGAGUAAUGCCUAGGAAUCUGCCUGGUAGUGGGGGAUAACGUCCGGAAACGGGCGCUAAUACCGCAUACGUCCUGAGGGAGAAAGUGGGGGAUCUUCGGACCUCACGCUAUCAGAUGAGACUAGGUCGGAUUAGCUAGUUGGUGGGGUAAAGGCCUACCAAGGCGACGAUCCGUAACUGGUCUGAGAGGAUGAUCAGUCACACUGGAACUGAGACACGGUCCAGACUCCUACGGGAGGCAGCAGUGGGGAAUAUUGGACAAUGGGCGAAAGCCUGAUCCAGCCAUGCCGCGUGUGUGAAGAAGGUCUUCGGAUUGUAAAGCACUUUAAGUUGGGAGGAAGGGCAGUAAGUUAAUACCUUGCUGUUUUGACGUUACCAACAGAAUAAGCACCGGCUAACUUCGUG
rnacentral:rRNA from 1 species